AUUGAACACUGGCGGCAGGCUUAACACAUGCAAGUCGAGCGAGCGGCGGACGGGUGAGUAAUGUCUGGGAAACUGCCUGAUGGAGGGGGAUAACUACUGGAAACGGUAGCUAAUCCCGCAUACCAUCAACUGUUCCCAGAUGGGAUUAGCGAGUAGGUGGGGUAAUGGCUCACCUAGGCGACGAUCCCUAGCUGGUCUGAGAGGAUGACCAGCCACACUGGAACUGAGAAACGGUCCAGACUCCUACGAAAGGCAGCAGUGGGGAAUAUUGCACAAUGGGCGCAAGCCUGAUGCAGCCAUGCCGCGUGUGUGAAGAAGGCCUUCGGGUUGUAAAGCACUUUCAGCGAGGAGGCAUUACUCGCAGAAGAAGCACCGGCUAACUCCGUGCCAGCAGCCGCGGUAAUUC
rnacentral:rRNA from 1 species